GAUGAAGAACGCAGCAAAAUGCGAUAAGUAAUGUGAAUUGCAGAAUUCAGUGAAUCAUCGAAUCUUUGAACGCACAUUGCGCCCGCUGGUAUUCCGGCGGGCAUGCCUGUUCGAGCGUCAUUUCAACCCUCAAGCCCCCGGGUUUGGUGUUGGGGAUCGGCUCUGCCCUUCUGGGCGGUGCCGCCCCCGAAAUACAUUGGCGGUCUCGCUGCAGCCUCCAUUGCGUAGUAGCUAACACCUCGCGACUGGAACGCGGCGCGGCCAUGCCGUAAAACCCCAACUUCUGAAUGUUGACCUCGGAUCAGGUAGGAAUACCCGCUGAACUUAAGCAUAUCAAUAAGCGGAGGA
rnacentral:misc_RNA from 1 species